rnacentral:misc_RNA from 1 species
GUGAGUCAUCGAAUCUUUGAACGCACCUUGCGCUCUUUGGUAUUCCGAAGAGCAUGCUUGUUUGAGUGUCAUUAAAUUCUCAACCCAUCCAGCUUUAACAAGUUGGUAUGUGGCUUGGAUUAUGGGAGUUGUGCUGGCGUUGAUAAAAAGUCAGCUCUCCUGAAAUGCAUUAGCGGAACGGUUUGCGAUCUGUCACUGGUGUGAUAAUUAUCUACGCCAAAGACCAAGAACGCUCUCUGUCUGUUCAGCUUCUAAUGGUCCCAUCAUGCGGACAACCUUUUGAAUGUUUGACCUCAAAUCAAGUAGGACUACCCGCUGAACUUAAGCAUAUCAAUAAGCGGAGGA